UACGUAGGGGGCUAGCGUUGUCCGGAAUCAUUGGGCGUAAAGCGCGUGUAGGCGGUCCGGUAAGUCCGCUGUGAAAGUCGGGGGCUCAACCCUCGGAUGCCGGUGGAUACUGUCGGGCUUGAGUACGGAAGAGGCGAGUGGAAUUCCUGGUGUAGCGGUGAAAUGCGCAGAUAUCAGGAGGAACACCUAUGGCGAAGGCAGCUCGCUGGGACGGUACUGACGCUGAGACGCGAAGGUCAGGGGAGCAAACGGG
rnacentral:rRNA from 1 species